UUGAAGAUUGUGGUCAUUGUUGUCAAACGCUAACUCCAGCGAACUCCUGGCUCAGACAAAAAGUGACAGACAAGUGGAGAUCGCCAGACAAACUGCUACGACGCACCCACCAGUUAGACAAACUUUGGAAAACUGUGCAAAUGUUAGUUUUAUAAUGCUAGAUUUACUCCAAAAUAAUGCAAGGACAACACUGCAAACGUUGAAACUUUGAAGAAAAAUGUAUUGUAUUAUAAAAAUAUAUGCUCAUUUUGAAUUUGACCUGAAACAGCACAUUUCAGAAAAGUUAGUGCAAGUCGUGUUUUCUUCUGUGUUUUUUCACCUCUUCUUUCAACAACACUCUGUAAAUGUUUGGAAACACACAGAGCAGUUUCUGGAGUUUUGAAAAUGAAAUGUUAUUUCAUUCUUGCCUGAUAUAGGAUUUCAGCUCCUCAGCAGUUCGAGGUCUCCUUUGUUGUAUUUUUCAGUUCAUGAUACCCAAAUAUUUUUUGGGCCAGUUUAGCGCCCAGACUCUCUCCACGGCGCCAUGCUGUUGUUACAUGUGCAGAAUGUGGCUUGGCAUUGUCUUGCUGAAAUAUGCAGUCUCCCCUUAAAAAGUAUUGUCUGGAUGUCAGCACAUGUUGCCCUGAAACCUGUACUGCUCAGUAUUUGUGGUGCCUUCCAAGAUGUGUGAACUACCCAUGCCAGGGGCACUGAUUCGUCCCUAUCCCCAAACAAUGCUGGCAUUUAAACUGCUCACUGAUAACAAAAGGGAUGGUUUUAAAGCAAGGUAGUCCCGUUUUGCAUUAGACCUGGAGGCACAGCAUCCUUAAUUUUCAAAAAGAAUAUCAUAAAUUGUUCUGUCAGGACACAUUUCCAUAGUUCCCCUGCCCAUCCAAAUGGGCCCACGCCCAGAGACGUCACCAGCUUUCAUAGUCAUGUCUGUUGGUAGAGUUUUAAUUUAAUUUCUGGUUGUAAUGAUGACCUUUGUUCACAGACAGUGGUUUUUGGAAGUAAUUUUGAGCCUAUGCAGUGACUUCCACUACAGAGCCAUGUUGAUUUUUAAUGCAGAGCAACCAGUAAAGAAAAUCACAGCCAUCUGGUACUUUUCUUUGGUCCUGUAUAUUUUUCCCCCCAAGAUUACUCCAGAUUCAGACUGUAGAUAAUGAAAUCCAAAAGCUAACAUCAUGACAUUAAUAAACUACUUACUUUCACAGUCUUUUGAGCAGUGGUGAACAUCCUCCCAUCUUUAUUUUAAGAGUGCCCAUUUUUAAAACCAGUUGUUUUUACCGAACCUGUUAAACAUGAACCUUACGAGUUUUCUUUUCUUUUUUUUUUUCUUUAUCUCAGACAUGUAAUCUUUUUCACUAACCUUGACAUGUUUCGACAGAAACUUCCACCUUCCUCAGAUGUGUCACUUGGUGGUAGGUGUGACAUCAUAUCAGCUGGUGUUAAAUUGACGUGAGGGUCAUGCCUCCGUAACAUCAGCUGAUAUGAGUUGUCACACCUACCACCAAGGGUAACUUCUGAGGGAGGCGGAAGUUUUCGCCGAAACAUGAAACAUGCCAAGGUACAUGAAAAAGAUUAAAUGUCUGAGAUGAAUAAAAAAAGAAGGAAAACUAUUUCUAAGAAACUGAAGAAACUAAUGAACAACAUUCAACAUGAACCUCACUAGUGACCUAUUGUUAUGGCGACCAGUUGAUAUGGAGAUCUGUUGAAAUGGUUACGUGUUGUUUACCUGUUGUUUAAAGAAUGGAGGUAUUGUGUACCAGGCAGUACAUCUUUAAUUGUGCUGUCUGUAAAUGUGCAAAAUGUGUUUUCUUUAGAAUUCAGAGCCAGUCUAAAGAGGACACUCCAGGAACUGCAAUGUUUCUAACUUCAGAUUUGGCUUUACUUUUCAGUACCAGAGGAUGUCGUCUGUCAAUAAUCAAUGAACCAAACCCAGGAGAUCCAAGAUAACUUUCUGGACCGUUAAGAGUUGGUUAGCUAGUUAUCUUUCACAUAUAAUACCCAUCACAUUUAAAUCACAUAUAAUAAUCCUCCCUUACAUGCUGUCAAGAAAGACUCUACUUUAUAUUCCCUUUUAUCACUUUGGCGCAAGCACAUAACUGCAUAUUCACACACACACACACAUCACACACACACACACACACACACACACACACACACACACACACACACACACACACAGUCAUGCACACAGCAUAUAAUGAUUCAUUUUGCCUCGCAGGGCUUUGGAACAGAGAUGUGUGGGAAAGCUUUAAUUAAAAGCAUGUCAGAGCAACCUCUAGUGCAAUGCUUUCACCUGACUUCAAUCUUUUUAGCCCAUCUCUGUUAUGUGACUGCCAGGUUGAUCGAACCACUCUCUUAAGGGCUCACCGUGCCAAAACAAAACAUCUCAAACGAGGCCUCCAACAAGCUACUAUUAAUUUUUUCUAAGCAAAUGAGAUGUCAGCUGCAAUGUUCAUAGAAGUCAAUGGAGGUGCGAUAAUUAAUGAGUGGAAAUAGGAGUGUAGAGAUUUAGAGAUUAAAACAGGAAUUUCAGUGAAGAAAACAGGAAGAAGCUCUUUCAUAACAUACCCUUUCUGUUUUGUGUUGGUUGAUUUUCUUGUUCAGUGGUUAAUAUGGCACAUGACAGAAAUGAAUGCCAUUCCUCACUAUGUGUCCCGCUGUAACUUUAGAAGUGUGAAACUAUGAAAUAAAUGGUGUCAGUUCAAACAAGGAAACAAAUUUAGUGUGAGAGUGAGCAUCAUGGUACACAAAGUUACAGGAACUACUACAGCUGACAAGUGAAUUAAAAACAACACUUGAUAUCCAACUGAAAGAAGAAACAUGUCAGUUUCAUUGGCUGAACUGAGAAUACUGUGUUUCAAUAAAGGAAUAAUUUGAAAAAAAAAAAAAAAGACAUGGCUAGAAUUUUAUCAACUCACUUUGUCUGACAGUGGAUAUAAAGAAAUAACUCACUUAAAAUCUUCUGUGAGGAACUUUCAGUUUGUAAAAGUUCUGGCGCCCCCUGUGGACAAAGCAGUCUUUGUCUAUCUUGACCUUCACAUGCUCAAGUAAUUUCUUAUCCUGCUGACUUAUUUGACAGCCAAGAACAAUUUUUUGUGUAUAUUUAAUGUUGAAAAUGUAAAAACAGGUCUGUUUCUUAGGCAAAUCCACUCUUACCUACCUCCUCACACUGGAUUCAGGCACUGAAGAUUCUGACACUAAAGAUUCUGACACUGAAGAUUCUGACACUCAAAAAUUCCUUACAGGAGCUUUAAAUCUUGCAAUUCCCGACCCCCAUUGACAACUGAUCACAAGAGAGGAUUACGCGCAAUUUCAGCUUCAACAGUGAAAAAAAACUCUGAAUAUUUAAUGGCAUUUAAAGAAUCCCAAAUAAGAUUUUUUUUAAAGAAAGCACCUCAAUCUGGACUAAAAAGAAACAUCUUGUUUAACUCAGUUUGUGAACUCCCCUCCUUUUUACAUUGUGCUCUUGGUCAGUUCUGCUUCUAUACAAUAGAGAUGGUCUUAAGUCCUGCACUAAUCAUCAAACAUUAAAAAAAUAUCACAAAGGAAGCAAGAGCCAUAAAUUAUUUGUGUCCCAUCUGGUUACAGUGACAACAUGUUCUAGCUGAUGGCUUAAUGUGUACACAGCCUCUAUAUUUCCCAUCAUGCCUGUCAAUGUCAGUCGUCAACUUUGUAGCAAAGAGGAUCUGACAUAAAAAUAACAUUUAAAUUACACACAGACUUAAUCUAAGCAUAUAUUGGAAGAGCUCUGUGCCAACAAAGAGGAGCAGAGACCUCUGAACAUUAAUGAGAGUGGAGUGUUGGUCUCUGAGGAGACAGUCCAUUGGUCCCUCUGUCUCCUCCAACAGUCCAAGGCAACCGGGCAUGGCUUACAAGAUCUGAUUAGGUGUAAAUUAAAACUUCAUUAAGCGCCAGUGCCGAUUAACAGGAUGGUGCGAGAAGGCCUUUGUUUAAAUCCAUCCUAUAUAUUACCGCCUCACCUCUUUAAUAAUACUUCAAAGUAUAAUAUGAAUACAGAAUAAUACUACUGUAUGCUGUCAGCAUUCAGCUCUGAUCAUAAAACCACUCUGUACCAUGUUAUUUUACAUUGAAAGUAUCUUAUGGCUCUACCAUUGAAAUUACUUUAAAGAGGUCAAAGUUCAAACCAAAUCCAUCAUCUACCAUAGAUCAUAAUAACCCUUUGAAAACAUUGUAGUUAUUUAUUUGUAGAGAUCUAUGACUAAAAAUUUAAUAUGUUCUGCUAUGGCACUUGAUUAAGGAAUCAAAAUGUUUGAAAUAUAUGUUGUUAUAGCAUAAGCAGAUGCUUGUGUUAAGGUCCAUGCAUCCAACAACAGAAUAACGCAAUUGCAAUAUAUCUUUAUAUUUAAGUUAUAAAAACAUUGUGCUGUGGUGGUCCAUUCAAAUAUAAAGAUGCUUGUGAUCAUCCUAAACUCACCCCUGAAAGUAAAAGUCACAAAAUCAUAACGAUUACACAGAUUUGAGUAUGUUGACACAGCUUGCAGUCUUCUUCCAUGCCAGUCAGCAUUCAUUUAUAACAUAUUUCUCCUAGAUGGAACUAUGAUUGUGUAACCCCAACAUCGACAACCUCCAGGCCAUUGGUUGAUAAGGUAUACAAAAGCUCCUGGCUGGUACAAGCAUCCAUUGUGUCAAGUGCACUUACAAGUGGCAUGCAACUCAUACAACCCUAUUGUAAAAAUGGCAAACUAUCCCUUUAAUCAUCCAGGGCUGAGAAUGUAUAUGUUUAUAUAUGUUCAGAAAAUGUUUGACUGCUAAAGGACUGGAAUGUCUUUCUGGGUGUGAUAAUGCGAGCAUAGUUAGUGGAUCCAAAACUUUGACAAACUCUACCUGACACUGAGCUCCUCAAAAAUAAAAGUUUUAGCUAUUUCAGGAAAGCAGAUUAGAGUGUUCUAAGAUAUAUUAACAUAACUAAGUUAACAUGUGAUUAAUACAACAAACAAAAGCCUUUUUGAUAUGAAUCAUAUAUGUGAGUGUGCUGCAUUCCAGAAGUACCCUUACAUGUUAGCAUAGCUGCUCCACAUUCCUCUAAAAAAUAUGAGGACAAGUAGUUCUGGUAAAGUAUGUUACAAAUGUAAAAAAGCAAAAGAAAAAAGCACUUGGAAUCACAUGGCUGAUAUCUUUUAUUUCAUUUAUUUAUUUCUUCACAAGCAAACCAUAAAGCUUGAGAAAGCACCCCCUGAAUGUCCCAUGUGCCAACACUCCCCCCUUCACCCUCCUCUUCUUCUGCUGUUUCUCUUCUGUUAGUUACCACGUGUGCUUUGCUAUGCAGAUGGAGCAGGACACUGUGUAAAUCCUCUCUUCCUUUACAACACACACACACACACACACACACACACACACACAAUUGGGUUUUUUUCAUAGAAUCAGCAGGCAUAGAAUCUGCAGGCUGGAGCAGAUAACACAGAGUCCUACAGCUACCCAGAAGAGUGUCUGCAGGCAUGCAUUAAGUAGUGUAUGUGUGUUUAUUCGUGAGUGUUUGCAUGUGUGAGACACUAAUUGUUUACCAUCCCAUUGUGCUCCUUCUUCUCAUCUCCACCUCCUUCUUCUCUCCCCAAACUAUGUCUUUCAUGUGAAACACGCACACACCCAAACCCUCAGUGGUGACACACAUACAUCGUCAGUCCAUCAAUUCGACAUCUGGCUGCAUUAUAUCAGCGUCAUUAUGAGCAUUACCUGAAUUCACCCCCAUAACACCUGCACGCCUCCACCCACCGCAAACACAUUUAUAGUUGACUGUGUAAUGGAUCACUCAGAAGCUUUCAACAUAAAUUGUCAGAACGCUUUCUUUCACAGUUGAGGUGCUUGCCAACAGGGUCAGGAAAUCCUGCAGGUCGGGUUUGAAAAAGGCUCAGAAAGAACAGUGUAUGCUUGUACACACACGUACUCCCACAUACAGACACACGCAUAGCAAACUUGUCACAAGUUAGUGAGAAAGAUGAGUAGAUAUCCCUCCAAGCAAACCAAGAUAAGUUAUAAAAAUGAAACAGGUGUGACUCUAUUUUUGCUUGUGUUGCAAAAUCAUGACUGUAUUGAUGCUACCCUCUAUGAUUUACACUCUAAAUUUGCACAAAAAGAGAACUAAAAUUAAAAAAAAAGGUGUUUCUAGUCCUCGCCUCCUCCAAAACGCCUCAGGCUUUCUCAAUUAAUGAAGGGUUUAAGCAAGUGCAUACACAUGUGAGCACAUCAAAACCUCUGCUUAGGGGUUCUGCUCAAUGACAGAUAGGUUACAGCCCAGUAAAAAUUAAUGAUGAAGACAAAUUGGAGCAGCACCUGGCCGGCGAUUUAUCAAAGCCCCUGCAGCUGAGGUGGUGCUUUUUGCCUGCGAGGGAAUUCAUUUCAUGGAGAGGUAUUUGAAAAAACCACCACAGAGGGCUGGAAAGAGAAGAGAAAGAGAGCGACGCACAUGUAGAAAAAAGCUUGAGGGCUGGAAAAGACUUGUUUUAAUUUGUUUUUAAGUUUUUGUCAAGUGCUGAACAUUUAUAUGAGCCCGAGAAUGACAGAGGUGAAUCAAAGUGCAAGCUGCAAAGUCUUUUCCGAUUACACACAGAGAUCAAACGCAGACUUCUUUUUCCCCCUGCAAAGUUAUUAAUAAUCUUCUGAACCACAAUUCAUUUUGAUGAAUCACUACGCGGGGCAUCAGGGUGGUUUGACUGUGUCGAACAUUGCCUCACACACCCAUGGUUUGAUAACCUCCCCACCUGCACACUAACUCCAACACCAACACUUCUCCUGCAGGAUAUUUGAUGGAAAGAUAAGCUCAGAUGGUGAAGAUAGUUUUUUUUUUUUUCACACGGUAAAUUUAUCUCCAGUGGGGAAAAAAAAUUCUCAAGGCGAUAAGAGAGACAUGAAAAGGAUGUGGGAGGAGCGGUUCCUACACUUCCAUCCUGAACCGGCUGUCAAUCAGAGUUUUCUUGAGGGAAAGAUGAGUGGGGCGAGCUUGAGAGUGAGGCUUUGAAUUCAGAAAUGGCCAAUUAGUAGCUGUCAGGUGUCGUUUUCUUCUACCAUAUUUCUUAAAUGAUUUUUUGAUGCCAUGUGAUCUCUUCAGCAAAUCUGUUUCUUGAGCACUUCAGUGAUGUUCAGGAUUUUGAUGAAGGUCAGGUUACACUUCUAUGAUAAAAAAAGGAAAAAAAAAAAAUCCACUUAUGAUCAUGCGAAAGAAGGUGUCUGACGGGAAGGAGUCUGAAGUUAAUUGCACCAUUUAAAACUUUCUCUGAUGCACUUGAGAUGAUCAUAAACCUCACGUCUACUCUGAAUUUUCUGUGAUUGCCGUCCAAAAUCAUUGAAAGACAUCACCCAAAACCAAAGCAUUAAUAAAUCAUAUUAAAACACAAGUCUGAUGGAUGAGGAUGAAAUUCUGCCCUUGAAAAAUGUGUUUGAUCUUGACUUGGUUCCAAGUUAGGAUCAAAGGAAUUGCCCAAUUUUUACGUCUGUGAACGUAAUCCUCAAUGGAAGGGUAACAUUUGUCAAUGGAAUAUGUUUUUUAUUUUAUUUUUUUUAACAGAAACCUUUUAACUUGAUGAAAAAUUAAUCAACCUCGUGUUCUUGUCUUGAAGAGGAACUUCAAGUGAACUUGUCCUGCUUUAAUUGUAACAGGGAAGCAACUGACAUUCAUCAAUUACAGCUCGAGUACGGAGUUUUUAUCAAGCCAUGAAAGAAAAUGAGAUCAGUAUAAAUGCCUCUUUUUGAGCUUACAAAAGCAAAAGGGACCAUCAGCAUGAAGUCUGAUUAUUUCUAUGCAAUAAUUUUAUUAUAAUAAUGCUUGAAACCGCUGCCAUGUGGUAGGAGUCAGAUGAAUGCACCAAAGCACACUGUCAAAACAGACCGUUUGAUGUUUUUUUCACCACAAAAUUCAGGUUGAAUGGUAGAUUUAACUUUGAAAAGAGAUAAAGAGGAGAUUUUCAUCUAAAAAGGCUGUUGUUUAAUUUCUUACUUGCACAGUUAUCCUCUCUAGCUAAGAGUGAAGGUCUGUGGAGGCUGCCUUCGAUCCAGCAUUUAUUACUGUGAGUGGUUCAGCCAAAUGUAGAGCCCUUCAUCAAACUGUUGUCCUCAUUAAUGUAAUAUUGUUCAUAAGUGUCCAUGUUCAUUGACAUACAACGAGGUGAUUUCACCAGAGUUGACUGAUUUUCUCAAUUUUAAAGUGGUUAAUUUAGGUGGUUGUAAACAAACCACGCUGUCGAAAGUAGGUCCAGUCCCUGUUUAAGAAAGUGUUUUACGAUCACAGCCACCCAUCAGACCACCACCUUUCGCAAUUGGCCUCAGCACACAGAUACAGAGUCCCCAAAGCAAGAAACAGGUGAUUUUUUGAAGUUGCCGUUAAAACAUCAUAAUCAGUAAAGGCUAAAACAUUCAGGACGCGUAUUUGGAGUGUGGCAGCAUCAUGCAGCAAAUAGGUUGCCAUUGUAAUGAAUGCAGCAAAGCAUACAGGACGCGUAUCAGCAUGGCAGCAUUGUAUCAAGAGCAGCUCUGCUAAAGAUACGCAGCAAGUCUAUUUUUUUGCUGCUCUAUGCUUCCAAUGCACGUCAAUCCACACAGAGAAGAUUGUUCCAGACAGGAAGUCAAGCAUGAAAAUCGCGCAUGUCAUCUGGUAUUUCAAAAUAAAACAUCAUAUGGGAGCUCCCAACUAUAUAUCAGUUCCUGUAGAUGAGAAAUACUUCCUGGUUCUGGAUUUAUCAGUAACACAGAACGAUAUGAUGGUCAAUCCCUGAUCCAUGUGGACCCUAACAGGACUUUAAACUGCUAACUCUGUUUGAAGGUAAGAGCACAGCAUAAAGGAACAUAGUUUACUUUAUUAAACACAGGUAAACCUGCAAAAACUGAAACUGUAAAAUCAUGUUGCUUUUUCACAUAAAGUAGAGGCUCAAAAAUCAUUAAAUUAUAUCCAAAUUAGCAGGAAAAAGACCAAAGAAAGGUAAAACAACCUGUUGUGAGCAUGUUGUUUCCUCUAUACUGAGCCCAGCUGACCGGGGCUGCACUACGCUGCUGCCACACUCCAAAUACGCAUCAUGUGUGCGAUAGACAGCCCUGCUCUACGGAGAAAAUACGCAACGCACUCAAUAUGGAUCCUGUAUGUUUUCGGCUUAAAACUCUUCACAGUCAGUCUGUGACCUCUUACUCAGGGACGUAUCUAGACUUUACAAGGUGGGCUGGGCCCGCUGAAAACUUGUGAAAAUCUAAAGUUCUUUGCUGGAGCUAUAAUACUUCAAAGACUCAAUUCAUUCAUUUAAAAAAAAAUAUUGAUCAGAAAUUCGUCAUUUUGAGGGGUGACUAUUAAGGAUUUACAUGUCCUGGAGGGGGUGGUAUUUUAUGGUCUCUUGAAAUUGCAUGGAGUAGGUUUUAUCAUCAUGUACACACGUGGAUCACUUUAAAAGUUUAACAGAAAAAAGAAGAUAUUCUUAAGGAUAGUCAGCAAAACUACACACACACACACACACACAAAUAGAAACACACAUUAAGAAAACUUAUACACACACGUCUGCACACAGCACAUUACACUGUCCUCCUCUACAGUGGCUGAACACAGCGUACAUCACUAGAGGCAAGGUUACCUUUGUUGUUUUGGCUCUCCUUGCCAGAUGCCUUUUGUAGGUGCUUCUCCCUCCAGCACUUUGUGGCUGCUGGAGUGCACACACACAAGUGCAUGGACACACAUAAACUGGGACACACACAUGCAACAUAGCAUGCAUGCACUCACUCACUCACUGAUGCACAUGGACACAUUAUCACAAGCACGCCAACACAUACAAGCUCACUAACACACACUCAUGUAUCACCUCUACCCUGUGACUCCUCAGACACACACGCACAUACAUGUCUGCUCACACAGUCAACCCCCUGCACCCCUGGGUGAUGAACAACAUCUGCUUAUCCGUCCCUCCGUCCCUGCCCCUGGCGUGGCUGCUGGCUUCCUCCUGGCUGCUCUGCCACAAUGUCAUCUUGUCUGCCUCCCUGUCAGCCAUUACUGAAAUGUGUAGUGACAAUCAGCCUCUCUUUUUGUACACUGGCCGCUUCACUCACACUAGACUGGGACCAGUAGCUCCAGUUUGAGGCUCGGUGAAAUGAUGGGGUGUCAUCUUCCAGGCCUCCUCUGUGUAUUCCCAAGGUUCAGGACAAGACUUUACAUGAUGGGACCCACUUUUUUACAGUGAAAAUAUAAUUGAUUACCUGGUUCAGGCUACUUUAGGUCCCACUAGACCGUGGGACAUCUGUCCUUGUUGUCCACCAUCUUGACUACACCUUUUUUUUUUUCUCCGUCUACUAUAUUUACCCUGAAAAAGAAACCAAACACAUUAUUUAGUUUUGGCGGCAACUUUUCUCAAUAUGUCACUUUUAUGAAACACAUUAGGGGUAUUGCAAGUAUAUAAAAAAUACAGAACAAAGAAAUUCUUUGGCAUGACUGAUAGUGUUUUAAGUUUUUUUUUACUUUUAAUACAAAAAAUAUUUUCAAUAUCAAAAGAGUAAGUAAAAUUCAAAACUAUUGAUUUUAUCAUUUGUUUCUUGUGGUAUGAUGAUUAAUAAUUUGAAAUCAAAUAAAUGAAUUUAAAUUCAAAUUAAAUAAAUCAAUCAAAUGAAGAAAUAAUAAAAAGAAAAAAAUCUAGUUUCAACAUGAAGCUUAUUUUUACAAGCAUGAACUGGAGAAGGACAUGUGAUUAAAUAGGAUAAAUACACAAAGCAUCAAUAAAUCAAUAGAUAUUUUUCAGUCCCCCCUCCAAAAAUCUUUUGGUUGUUAAUUAAAGCUCCUAUGAGGACUUUUUUUUUAAAUGAAAUACACCAGAAUUUAUACUAAUGUCUUUAAAUUACAUACAAAAGCAAACAAACCAUCAGCAACAAGGUUGAGGAUUUUUAUCUUACAUUUAGUAGGGGUAUCUUUUUUGUUGUUGUUGUGCAUAUACAAAAAAGCUUUUAAUAUCAGUCAAUAGCUAUUAGUCAUUGGUGACAUUUGGGAAUAUCCCAAUAUCGCUGUGUUCUCUCAUGCCUGUGUCGUCAGCAUUCUAAAAAUUUUGAGCGGUCCGCUCUUUCUGACAGUAAGCAAAGCCGUUCUCCACCUCCCCGACCUGACUGGAUGUGAGGUGGAUGCUGCUUCUUCGUGCUGAUUGGUCGUGAGGCAGACGCUGUUCCCCCGUGUUGUUCACGAGCCUAAACGAAGUUAGCGUGCUACAAUGUCGGACAGUAGAAAUCAACCAGAAAGUACAGAAAAGUGAAUCAACAAACGCAAGAAAAUGAAGUAAAUACAUACAGUAAAAAUCAUUUCCUGACUGCACCUAUGCAGAAUAGAAGACAUCAAAAAGUACCCUUAAAACAUGCCACCUGAUAGUGACAACUGAAAUACACACAUGAACAAACACCAAUGAGCCAUUAGAUUACAUCACAGGGAAAGCAGGACACGGGACAGUCUGUUGUACAGUGUGAGCGCAUAAAUCAAUAAAUCAUGAGCUUUAGUGGUGCAUCCUAUAUGACUCAAUCAUACAGAGGGAACUAACUUUCCACCACAGCAUUUAUACAGUCCUAUGGUGUACACCCAGCCUAACAAGAGCUCUAACACAUCACAAAGUGAGAGGUACUCAAUCAUGAGCACCUCCUGAAUGACAGUGUUGGCAGGCUCUUGAGGUAGAGUCGUAGGGUUCCUGGUUGGCUGUUGCUGCAGGUGGAUGAUUUUGGCAUCAAGCUGGAGGAUGUACCACUUACAGACACACAUGCAUACACACAUACACACAAAU